AGAGAAAGGGAUUGGAGGUGGGACUUAAAUAGAAUGUUAGAGACUUUGACUAGUGUGCAUUGUGAAUUGGGAAAGAAGAAAAUGUAAAAUGAUUGCAAAGAGACAUUCAGCUGUAGCUAAGAUAUACAGGCUUUUAGGAAUACUAAUGUGAGUGUUGAGGCCAGAAAAAUGAAGCCGGGUGGUACUGGAGGAGUAUCUCCGAAGACUGCUCUCAGUAGGCUGACAACAAGUUAAGAUGAAUGUGUAACUGUUUUCUACAUUCUUCUUACUGCUAUAAAAAUAAUUGAAAUGCAGAAUGCUUAACUUCAUUCAGCUGUAAGCCUUGUAAGAACGUCAAUAAAAAUUUAAAAAUUC